rnacentral:rRNA from 1 species
GGGUUGUGAGGUUAAGCGACUAAGCGUACACGGUGGAUGCCCUGGCAGUCAGAGGCGAUGAAGGACGUGCUAAUCUGCGAUAAGCGUCGGUAAGGUGAUAUGAACCGUUAUAACCGGCGAUUUCCGAAUGGGGAAACCCAGUGUGUUUCGACACACUAUCAUUAACUGAAUCCAUAGGUUAAUGAGGCGAACCGGGGGAACUGAAACAUCUAAGUACCCCGAGGAAAAGAAAUCAACCGAGAUUCCCCCAGUAGCGGCGAGCGAACGGGGAGGAGCCCAGAGCCUGAAUCAGUGUGUGUGUUAGUGGAAGCGUCUGGAAAGGCGCGCGAUACAGGGUGACAGCCCCGUACACAAAAAUGCACAUACUGUGAGCUCGAUGAGUAGGGCGGGACACGUGGUAUCCUGUCUGAAUAUGGGGGGACCAUCCUCCAAGGCUAAAUACUCCUGACUGACCGAUAGUGAACCAGUACCGUGAGGGAAAGGCGAAAAGAACCCCGGCGAGGGGAGUGAAAAAGAACCUGAAACCGUGUACGUACAAGCAGUGGGAGCCUCUUUUAUGGGGUGACUGCGUACCUUUUGUAUAAUGGGUCAGCGACUUAUAUUCUGUAGCAAGGUUAACCGAAUAGGGGAGCCGAAGGGAAACCGAGUCUUAACUGGGCGUUAAGUUGCAGGGUAUAGACCCGAAACCCGGUGAUCUAGCCAUGGGCAGGUUGAAGGUUGGGUAACACUAACUGGAGGACCGAACCGACUAAUGUUGAAAAAUUAGCGGAUGACUUGUGGCUGGGGGUGAAAGGCCAAUCAAACCGGGAGAUAGCUGGUUCUCCCCGAAAGCUAUUUAGGUAGCGCCUCGUGAACUCAUCUCCGGGGGUAGAGCACUGUUUCGGCAAGGGGGUCAUCCCGACUUACCAACCCGAUGCAAACUGCGAAUACCGGAGAAUGUUAUCACGGGAGACACACGGCGGGUGCUAACGUCCGUCGUGAAGAGGGAAACAACCCAGACCGCCAGCUAAGGUCCCAAAGUCAUGGUUAAGUGGGAAACGAUGUGGGAAGGCCCAGACAGCCAGGAUGUUGGCUUAGAAGCAGCCAUCAUUUAAAGAAAGCGUAAUAGCUCACUGGUCGAGUCGGCCUGCGCGGAAGAUGUAACGGGGCUAAACCAUGCACCGAAGCUGCGGCAGCGACGCUGAUGCGUUGUUGGGUAGGGGAGCGUUCUGUAAGCCUGUGAAGGUGUGCUGUGAGGCAUGCUGGAGGUAUCAGAAGUGCGAAUGCUGACAUAAGUAACGAUAAAGCGGGUGAAAAGCCCGCUCGCCGGAAGACCAAGGGUUCCUGUCCAACGUUAAUCGGGGCAGGGUGAGUCGACCCCUAAGGCGAGGCCGAAAGGCGUAGUCGAUGGGAAACAGGUUAAUAUUCCUGUACUUGGUGUUACUGCGAAGGGGGGACGGAGAAGGCUAUGUUGGCCGGGCGACGGUUGUCCCGGUUUAAGCGUGUAGGCUGGUUUUCCAGGCAAAUCCGGAAAAUCAAGGCUGAGGCGUGAUGACGAGGCACUACGGUGCUGAAGCAACAAAUGCCCUGCUUCCAGGAAAAGCCUCUAAGCAUCAGGUAACAUCAAAUCGUACCCCAAACCGACACAGGUGGUCAGGUAGAGAAUACCAAGGCGCUUGAGAGAACUCGGGUGAAGGAACUAGGCAAAAUGGUGCCGUAACUUCGGGAGAAGGCACGCUGAUAUGUAGGUGAAGUCCCUCGCGGAUGGAGCUGAAAUCAGUCGAAGAUACCAGCUGGCUGCAACUGUUUAUUAAAAACACAGCACUGUGCAAACACGAAAGUGGACGUAUACGGUGUGACGCCUGCCCGGUGCCGGAAGGUUAAUUGAUGGGGUCAGCGCAAGCGAAGCUCUUGAUCGAAGCCCCGGUAAACGGCGGCCGUAACUAUAACGGUCCUAAGGUAGCGAAAUUCCUUGUCGGGUAAGUUCCGACCUGCACGAAUGGCGUAAUGAUGGCCAGGCUGUCUCCACCCGAGACUCAGUGAAAUUGAACUCGCUGUGAAGAUGCAGUGUACCCGCGGCAAGACGGAAAGACCCCGUGAACCUUUACUAUAGCUUGACACUGAACAUUGAGCCUUGAUGUGUAGGAUAGGUGGGAGGCUUAGAAGUGUGGACGCCAGUCUGCAUGGAGCCGACCUUGAAAUACCACCCUUUAAUGUUUGAUGUUCUAACGUUGACCCGUGAUCCGGGUUGCGGACAGUGUCUGGUGGGUAGUUUGACUGGGGCGGUCUCCUCCUAAAGAGUAACGGAGGAGCACGAAGGUUGGCUAAUCCUGGUCGGACAUCAGGAGGUUAGUGCAAUGGCAUAAGCCAGCUUGACUGCGAGCGUGACGGCGCGAGCAGGUGCGAAAGCAGGUCAUAGUGAUCCGGUGGUUCUGAAUGGAAGGGCCAUCGCUCAACGGAUAAAAGGUACUCCGGGGAUAACAGGCUGAUACCGCCCAAGAGUUCAUAUCGACGGCGGUGUUUGGCACCUCGAUGUCGGCUCAUCACAUCCUGGGGCUGAAGUAGGUCCCAAGGGUAUGGCUGUUCGCCAUUUAAAGUGGUACGCGAGCUGGGUUUAGAACGUCGUGAGACAGUUCGGUCCCUAUCUGCCGUGGGCGCUGGAGAACUGAGGGGGGCUGCUCCUAGUACGAGAGGACCGGAGUGGACGCAUCACUGGUGUUCGGGUUGUCAUGCCAAUGGCACUGCCCGGUAGCUAAAUGCGGAAGAGAUAAGUGCUGAAAGCAUCUAAGCACGAAACUUGCCCCGAGAUGAGUUCUCCCUGACCCUUUAAGGGUCCUGAAGGAACGUUGAAGACGACGACGUUGAUAGGCCGGGUGUGUAAGCGCAGCGAUGCGUUGAGCUAACCGGUACUAAUGAACCGUGAGGCUUAACCUUACAACGCCGAAGCUGUU